CCCUGCAUUCGUAAGUGAUCAAGGGCUAUCCAUGUCCUGGUCAUUGGUCAUGCAGGCAGAGGAAAUGUGGAAAGGGUUGCCCCAUGUUUGGAGGGUCCACAUCUACCCUUCCAGUUCUGGAGCUUUCCCACA